GGAUAAGUUAGAUGUGAAAGCCCCGGGCUCAACCUGGGAAUUGCAUUUAAAACUGUCCAGCUAGAGUCUUGUAGAGGGGGGUAGAAUUCCAGGUGUAGCGGUGAAAUGCGUAGAGAUCUGGAGGAAUACCGGUGGCGAAGGCGGCCCCCUGGACAAAGACUGACGCUCAGGUGCGAAAGCGUGGGGAGCAAACAGGAUUAGAUACCCUGGUAGUCCACGCCGUAAACGAUGUCGAUUUGGAGGCUGUGUCCUUGAGACGUGGCUUCCGGAGCUAACGCGUUAAAUCGACCGCCUGGGGAGUACGGCCGC
rnacentral:rRNA from 1 species